UAUUCACUGGGACAGCACUCUAAAAUUGGACCUAUACAAAGAAGUUUAGCAUGGCUCCGGGGCAAGGAUGACAUGCAAAUUCAUGCAGCAUUUGUAUUUAAG
rnacentral:snRNA from 1 species